GCCGGUGUGGCGGAAUAGGCAGACGCAAGGGACUUAAAAUCCCUCGGGGGCAACCUCGUACCGGUUCAAGUCCGGUCACCGGCA
rnacentral:tRNA from 4 species